UUUUGAUGGCGACCGGCGCACGGGUGCGUAACAGGUGUGCAAUCUGUCCAUAAUCGGGGAAUAGCCCAGCGAAAGUUGGAUUAAUGCUCCAUGUGAGCCGAGGAGGCAUCUCUUGGGUUUGAAACGUAAGGAUUAUGGGUGAGCACGCUUCUGAUUAGGUAGUUGGUGAGGUAACGGCUCACCAAGCCGACGAUCAGUAGGGGUUCUGAGAGGAAGGUCCCCCACAUUGGAACUGAGACACGGUCCAAACUCCUACGGGAGGCAGCAGUGAGGAAUAUUGGUCAAUGGACGGAAGUCUGAACCAGCCAAGUCGCGUGAAGGAUGAAGGUUCUAUGGAUUGUAAACUUCUUUUGUCUGAGGGUAAAAAAGCGGACGUGUCCGUUCUUGCAAGUAUCAGACGAAUAAGCAUCGGCUAACUCCGUGCCAGCAGCCGCGGUAAUACGGAGGAUGCAAGCGUUAUCCGGAUUUAUUGGGUUUAAAGGGUGCGUAGGCGGGUUGUUAAGUCAGUGGUGAAAGCGUGUGGCUCAACCAUACCAAGCCAUUGAAACUGGCGACCUUGAGUGCAAACGAGGUAGGCGGAAUGUAACGUGUAGCGGUGAAAUGCUUAGAUAUGUUACAGAACCCCGAUUGCGAAGGCAGCUUACCAGCAUGCAACUGACGCUGAGGCACGAAAGCGUGGGUAUCAAACAGGAUUAGAUAC
rnacentral:rRNA from 1 species